GGAGGGCUGGCCGAGCCAGGCAAGGCACCGGGUUGCUAACCCGAGGUCCGGGAUCACCCCGGCGCGCGUUCGAAUCGCGCGCCCUCCG
rnacentral:tRNA from 1 species